UAAUAAUUUCAAGAAUAGGCAAUCAAGAAGCAGUCUGGGACAUGGAAGCCAUCAUCUAUUGAAUGAUAAUAUGAGUCAACAUAAUAAUAAUGAAUGAAGGUACAGUUCUCGGUUAAGUCAAAGAAGCCGCCCUGUGAGACUAGGCUGUUAUUCAGCAGUGUUGGAAGUUUUCUCUUCUAAUUUCAGUUUCAGUUAUCCCUGGUCAACCAUUGUCUGGAAGCAAAUGAUCCUCCUUCUGUAAUCAGAAGGCCAAUGGUAGCCUAAUGCAUUGUCACAAUUCCUCCAUCAAG